UGCUCCAUGUGGUGGCAGGAUCCCCAGGGACAACUGAUAUUUAUUACAUGAAAGUGUUGAGCAAACAAUACAUACUUGUGAGGUAGAUGAAGUCAUGCACAGGUGGAGGAAGCAGAGCCUGAUGUGAAGAAGGCAAGAUCAGAGCCCCAGCGGGAGCUUUUGGAAGCAAAAGUGAUUUUCGAGAGAAAAGAUAUCUAGGAAGAAGUGUGGAGGGCAUGCUCACCAUGCAAAAUUGUUAAAGAGGGGGAGUGUUCCACAAGUGAACUUUGAGCAGUGGACGAUGGAAGGGCAGAUUGAAGGAAGACUUGAACCUAGAAGGAUACAAGCUGGAGUGGCAAGAGACAACUCUACAGCCUUGAGGGGAGAGCCUAUCACAGAAUAUGGACAACAUGGUGGAGUGCACAAGUAAUAGAGUGAGAAACUGGGUCUUCAUGAUAUCCUCUGAGUCCUAUGUCUGAAGCUAGCCUCAUCACUAGAUUUUCAGCUUUAUGAGCAAUAGACAGAUUCUUUUUCAGUAAGCCUGUCCGGAUGAUCAAAAGCCAGACAAGACCUUCAAGCAAAUUCCCUUUUACCAUUUGCAAUGUAAAACACUCCUUGGUUCCCCGUGAACCCUCCCGUUUCAUGAAUGGAAACACAGCUCUUAUCUUGAUGUAUGUGUAGCUGGUGCCUCUUCAGUUCUGACAACAAGAAAAGUGAGCCAGGGAACAUAAUGGAGCCCUGAAAAAUUGCUGUCCUCAUACCACUGAAAUUUCUCCUUUCAAGCCAAAUCCACCCAAGGGUCAUGUUUGAGAAAUGAAGCCCGGAAGAGAUAUCUGUGAAGCUGACAGUCUGCAAAAUAUUUUUCUUUUCUUUUCAAUAGCCAGUGAUUGCCAAGUCAUUGGCCAGUCUCGAACAAUUUUCUGGGUAAAGUGACAGUUAUUGGAAGGGGAAGACGCUCUCUUUUGCCCUUCAGAAGCUUCUAACUGGAAAAGGGCAAAAACAAUUAGAAAAAUAAAUGAAGUACAAGAGCUACAGAGUCUGGGGAUCUCUGGACUCACAUUCAGUGGCUGCAGCUUCCCAGGCCAGGUCCCAUUCUUAAAGUGUGUGAUAAACAGAAAAAAAGGUAUGAUUCUGAGUCUGAGGUUCUCCACCUACUUUGAGGUUCUACAAUCAUCACCGUUUUUCUGGAUGAGAAGAGUGAAUCCUGGAGAGAUUAAGACUUUUGCUGAAAUCAAGGCUGGAAAACAGCGGGGUCAGGAUCUGAACCACCACAGCCUGAGUCCAGCACACCUGCACCUGACCACUUCAUUGUGCCCCUCUGGCAAACUAAAGUCCAUUGUUCCCAGUUGGGAAGUGUAGUUACUCUUUUUGUUUGUUUGUUUGUUUGGUGGCUGGGUGAUUAUGGAAACCUAGAAGAGGGAAUAGAGGAGAAGGGACAAUCUCAACAACUUGUCUUUGUAAUGAAAAUAAUCGAGGUUACUGUCUCUAAAUGGCUGCACUGGGGUGGGUGAGUACUGAUGAACGUGAAAGAAGAGGUGCACCUGACCAGACAGGACCCGCAUGAAUGAGAGGACACCCUGUGUCAAGCACACCACUCCUCUUAAACCACACUCAUCCUGACUGGCUGACAUCCCGGCAUCAGAAACUAGGUCUGCAGCCUCAGCCAGACUUGGAACCCUUUG